GCGCUGGUCCCGCGCAACGCAAUCUUGUGAAACCCGCCAGAUCCGGAAGGAAGCAACGGUAACAGGCUCCUGCGUGUGCAGCGGUCAACUGGCGCCCG
rnacentral:SRP_RNA from 1 species